rnacentral:rRNA from 1 species
UACAGAGGGGGCAAGCGUUAUUCGGAAUUAUUGGGCGUAAAGGGCGCGUAGGCGGCUUUGCAAGUGACGGGUGAAAUCCCUCGGCUUAACCGAGGAACUGCCUGUCAAACUGCAUGGCUUGAGACCGGGAGAGGUGAGUGGAAUUCCCAGUGUAGCGGUGAAAUGCGUAGAUAUUGGGAGGAACACCAGUGGCGAAGGCGGCUCACUGGGACGUGACUGACGCUGAGACGCGAAAGCGUGGGGAGCAAACAGG